rnacentral:lncRNA from 10 species
GUCUUUGGCCUAAUGCUUGAGAACAUCAACUUAAGUCAUGAAUAAUGGACCUGAAAUGUAUUCUCCGUGGGCACCCACUGCUUAGGAGCUUCAGAACUUGCCCCGGUCCUCGAAUGCAGUAUUUCUCAGUUCCCACCAUCCAGUUGGACCUAAAUAAAACCAUCCCUUAACCUAGGAAGCACAUGUACAUUUUGUUUUGUAGGUGGGAGAAGAGCACACUACUGGAAAAAUCUGAAAUCAUUUAGGCUGUCAGGACAAGGAACUAAGGAAACAGAACUCCAAACUUAAUGAGCAUUUUCUUGGCCACCACAGCAAAGAGCUAGCCGAGGAUCGGGUAACUGUCACCUGUGCAGCGCUUAAGCAGAUCUUCAGUUUCCAGAAUGGGAAAGUCCCCAGAGAGUCCUGAGGCUGCCAACACCACUGCGAAGAUUGGUUCCAACUGGGGCUUAGAGGAUCAAACAAAAGCUUCUUUCCUCCCAGUGGCACUGAUGCGUCGUGCCUUCUCUGAAAUUCUCCUGUCAGCUUCCAGAGAGACUCCAAGUCAUGGUGCAAGGGUGAGGAUAGAAAACUAGUACAGGCCCCAGCUGGUAGCACCAAGGGAAGAGGUUGAACACUACUGUCUAGAGCAUGGACUCAGCCCUGGCCAUCGCAUUCAAAUUCUGUGAUCUUUGAAAGUUACUUACACUUUUUGCACUUUAGUUGUCUCAUUUGUAAAGUGGGGAAGACAAUGCCUUUUUAAAAAUUAUGUUAUCAUGAAGAAUAAAUAACCUUAUACAUACGAAGUAGUCAGCAAACCCUGGCCCAUAGCGUAACCGCCCAGUGGGUUCACUUUGCCCACUGCUUAGAUAGAGCCGAUUUAUCAAGACAGGGGAAAUGCAAUAGAGAAAGAGUAAUUCAUGCAGAACUGGCUGUGUGGAAGACCAGAGUUUUAUUAUUACUCAAAUCAGUCUUCCCGAGCAUUCCGGAAUCAGAAUUUUUAAGGACAUCUUGGUGGAUGUGGGGAGGCCAGUGAGCCAGGAGUGCUGAUUGGUCAGGUCAGAGAUGAAAUCAUCGGGAGUCAAAGCUGUCUUCUUGCCCUGAGUCAGUUCCUGGGUUGGAGCCACAAGAUCAGAUGAGCCAGUUUAUCGAUCUGGGUGGUGCCAGCUAAUCCAUCAAGUGAAGCAUCUGCAAAAUAUCUCUGCAAAACAGCUCAAGCACUGAUUUUAGGAAUAGUUUAAGGAGGGUCAGAAUCUUCCGGUGGCAUGACUCCUAAACCAUAAUUUCUAAUCUUGUGGCUAAUUUGUUAGUCCUACAAAGGGAAUCUAGUCCCCAGGCAAGAGGAAGGUUGAUUUUUGUGAAAGAGCUAUUAUCGUCUUUGUUUUAAACACUAAACUAUAAACUAAGUUUCUCCCAAAGUUAGUUCAGCCUGCAUCCAGGAACGAGCAAGGAUAGCUUGGAGGUUAGAAGCAAGACGGAGUUGGUUAGGUCAGAUCUCUUUCAUUGCCUCAGUUACAAUUUUGCAAUGGCAGUUUCAAUAGUAAGUGUCAGGCCUCUGAGCCCAAGCUAAGCCAUCAUAUCCCCUGUGACCUGCCACGCGUACAUCCAGAUGGCCUGAAGCAACUGAAGAUCCACAAAAUAAGUGAAAAUAGCCUUAACUGAUGACAUUCCACCAUUGUGAUUUGUUUCUGCCCCACUCUAACUGAUCAAUGUACUUUGUGAUUUUCUCCACCCUUAAAAAGAUUGUUUGUAAUCUCCCCCACCCUUAAGAAGAUUCUUUGUAAUGCUCCCCACCCUUGAGAAUGUACUUUGUGAGAUCCACCCCCUGCCCACAAAACAUUGCUCCUAACUCCACCGCCUAUCCCCAAACCUACAAGAACUAAUGAUAAUCCCACCAUGCUUGCUGAGUCUCUUUUUGGACUCAGCCCGCCUGCACACAGGUGAAAUAAACAGCCUUGUGUCUCACACAAAGCCUAUUUGGUGGUCUCUUCAUAUGGACACAUGAGACAGUAAGUGGCUUAGUAAAUAAUAGCUAUUAGUAAUACUGCAGCAUCAAAACAAGAAACUGUAAAACAUGUUAGAGUCACAGAAGCAUUGGAUCUUAGACUGGAAUAAAUCUUAAUGGUCAUCUAGUUCAUCUCAGUCCAAAACUCCCUGGCCCUUUAGAAGAGUGUUGCUGCCCUUGCCCACUCAGCACUGCUCAGGCCUUUUUCUUUCUAAUCUGCCAACUCCUCCACAUGCCUGGGAUAAAACCACAGGCUUGGACCAUCCUACUCAAGCUUGAGGAGAUAACCCUUUUGCAAGCAGAGAGUGUGACUCACAUGGCUUUAUGUACCCUGGCUUCUCCAGAAUUAUUACAUGUGCAGUCUUUAUCACAUUGCAGGAGUUCAGACUAUGACUCCCCUAAAAUGUGCUUCUUUCGCAUAAGGAUUAUUUGAGCUGAUUAUUUUCAGAAACUUUAGACACAGGAGAAACUGUAAAAAUAGUGCAGCAGUUACCCUUUGGUAGAGACCUUACAUGUAUAAAGAAGAUCUCCAUUUGUAAGGGUGUCUCCCUGUCUGUACAAGGAAGAAAAGAAUGACUCUAAGUUACUGAGUCUUACCAAUGGAGAAGGCACUGACUUAAAUUUACAUAACAAACCUUACCCUUGUUUACUGAGUUUUUCCUUGUAACUUCCCCAUUAUUGGCCCCCCAAUGCCUUUCUGUCUUAGUCCAUUUUCUAUUGCUUAUAACAUAAUGCCUGAAACUAGGUACUUUAAAGAGUUAAUAUUACUAAAAUUUCAAUACUACUCAAUGUGAUCAGACUCAAUGCAAUUCUGAUCAAGAUGUCAAUGACCUUCUUCACAGAAAUAGAAAAAAUAAUCCUGAAACUUGCAUGGAACCACAAAAGACCCUGAAUAGCAAAAAAAUAAAUAAAAAGUUCUAAGCAAAAAAAAAAAGCUGGAGGCAUCACAUUAUCUAACUUCAAAAUAUACUAUAAAGUUGUAGUAAUCAAAACAGCAUGGUAUUGACAUUAAAACAGACACAUAGACCAAUGGAAUAGCAUAAAGAACCCGAAAAUAAAUCUAUGCAUUUACAGCCAACAUUUUUGACAAGGGUGCCAAGAGCAUACAUUGGGGAAUGUAUGCUAUCUCUCACCAUACACAGAAAUAAAAACAAAAUGGAUUACAGACUUAAAUCUAAGACCUGGAACUAAAAAACUGCUAGAAGAAAACAUUGGAGAAACACUCCAGGACACUGGUAUGGGCAAAUAAUUUUUGAGUAAGACCUCAAAAGCACAGGCAAUGAAAACAAAAACAGACAGAUGGAUUUCAUCAAGCUAAGAAGCUUCUGCACAGCAAAGAAAACAAUCAAAAAAGUGAAGAUGUUACCAACAGCAAAUCCAUACAGGUCUCCAGCAACCUCAGUUCUUACCUCCUCAGAAGAAAGAAUUCAGUGGAGGGGUAUAGGCAGAAGGAGAGACUAAAGCAUGUUUUAGAGCAGGAGUGAAAGUUUAUUGAGAAGUUUUAGGGCAGGAAUGAAAAGAAGUACAGUAUACUUGGAAGAGGGCCAAGCAGGUGACUUGAGAGAUCAAGUGCACCGUUUGACUUUUUCACUUGGGGUUUUAUACGUUGGCAUGCUUCAGGGGUGUUGUGCUGCUUCUCCCCUGAUUCUUCCCUUGGAGUGGGCUGUCUGUAUGCACAGUGGCCUGCCAGCACCUGGGAGGGGCCACAUACACAGUGUGUUUACUAGAGUUGUAUACAUGCUCACUUGAGGUGUUUUUCCCUUAACCAGUUGAAUGUUCCUAGAGGAAGGUCAUAUACCCAUUAAACUCUGCCAUUUUGUCUCUUUGUGCACAUGCUUGAGCCCACUCAUCCAACUCCUGAGAUCUUAUUGUUACUGGGGGGUCCUUGCUCCCAGAGCUCCCAACAUGGUGGCGGGCCACUUCCAAGAUGGUGACAGGCCACUUCCAAGAUGGUGGCAAGCCUCGUGUUCUCUGAUCUGGGUUUCUUUGCCUCACGGAUUCCAAGGAAUGGAAUAUUGGGCCAUGCAGUGAGUGUUAUAGCUCUAUUAGAAGCUGUGGGUCACAGAAGAGAACCGUGGAACCCAGUGACUAGUGUUCAGCUCGAUUAGGAUGAAUCUGGGCACUUAGCCAUGCAGGAACAAUGGCAAGCCUUUAGCCCGAUCGGGAGCAGCAAUGGGCGCCUCACUGAAUCAGGAGCACAGCAGACACCCUGCCAGAUCCAGAGGGAUGGAAGUUAGUGGCUGGUCUAUGAUGGCGGCAAACAGCAGUGGUGGAUGGCGAGCAAAAGCUCAGCUCAAGCCGUAACAAACACGGACCAGAAGAGAGUGCAGUUGCAAGAUUUAACAGAGUGAAAACAGAGCUCCCAUACAAAGGGAGGGGACCCGAAGAGGUUAGCCAUUGCUGGCUUGAAUGCCUGGGUUUAUAUCCUGAUCAUUUAUCUCCCUCUGUGCUCUCAGGCAAUAGAUGAUUGGCUAUUUCUUUAUUUCCUGUUUUUGCCUAAUUAGCAUUUUAGUGAGCUCUUUUUACUAUCUGACUGGUCAGGUGUGAGCUAAGUUGCAAGCCCGGUGUUUAAAGGUGGAUGUGGUGACCUUCCCAGCUAGGCUUAGGAAUUCUUAGUCGGCCUAGGAAAUCCAGCUAGUCCUGUCUCUCAUUAUCAGGAAGCUGCUAUCACUAAUUUGAGGUUUUUUCUAUCUAUUGAGAGACUGCCUUUCCCUGGAGCUGGCUGUGACCAAGUAUUUUAGACAGACAGUUAACAACCGCCUGACCAUCACCUGUUGAUCACCUGACAUUCCUGGUUGCGGGGGGCCUUCUCCUGCCCUGCUCAUGUAUGACUAGCUACCUACUGUAACAAAGAGACAAACCACAGAAUGGGAGAAAAUAUUUGCAAACUAGCCAUGUGACCAGGGAGUAAUAACAAGAAUAUAUAAGGAACUCAAACAACUCAAUAGCAAAAUCAGUAAACAAUCCAAUUUCAAACCAGGUGAAAGAUCUGAAUAGACUUUUCUCAAAAGAGGCCAUGCAAAUGGCCAAUAGGUAUGUGUAAAAUGCUCAACAUCAUUAAUUUAACCACCAGAGAAAUGAAAGCCAAAACCACAGUGAGAUAUCAUCUCAUCUCAGUUAAAAUGGCUUUUAUCAAAGAUAGAAACAACAAAUGCUGGUGAUAUUGUGGAGAAAGGGAACCCUUCGUACACUGGUGAUAGGAAUAUAAAUCAGCACAAUCAUUAUGAAAAAGUAUAUGGAGGUGCCUCAAAAAACUAAAAAUAGAACUACCAUAUGACCCAGCAAUCCCACAGCUGGGUUAUUUAUCCAAAUGAAAGGAAAUCAAUGUAUCGAGGAGAUAUCUGCACCCUCAUGUUUAUUGCAGCACUAUUCAUGAUAGCCAAAAUAUGGACUUAACCCAAGUGCGCAUCAAUGGAUGAAUGGUUAAAGAAAACUUGGUGUAUAUACACAAUAGGAUAUUAUUCAGUCCUAAAAUAGAAUAAAAUCUCAUCAUUUACAGCGACAGAGACGAACUUAUGUCAAGUAGAAUAAGCCAAGCCCAGAAAGUCAAACACCACAUGUUCUACUCAUAUGUGGGAGCUAACAAAGCGGAUCUCAUGAAGAUAGAGAGUAGAUUGGUGGAUACCGGAGGCCAGAGUAGAGGGGAGAAGUGGAUAGAGGAUGAUUGAUAGAAAAAAUACAGUUACAAGAAAUAAGACCUAAUGUUCAAUAAAUCAGUACAGUGACUAUAGUAAACAACAAUUCAUUGUAUAUUUCAAAAUAGCUAGUAGAGAAUAAUUCAAAUGUUCCCAGAGUACAGAAAAGAUAAAUGUUUAAGGUAGUGGAUGUUCCGAUUACCCUAAUCUGAUUAUUACACAUUAUACAUAUGUAUCAAAAGAUCACAUGUAACCCCAAAAUAUAUACAUCUCUUAUGUCUCAAUUUUAAAAAAGAAUGAAAUUUAUUUUUUACAGUCAUGGAGACUGGAAAGCUCAAGGUCAGAGGGCUGCAUCUGGUGAGGACCUUCUUUCUAGGAGAGGUCUCUGAGGCAUCCCAAGGAGGCACAGAGCAUCACAUGGCAAGGGGGCUGAGCUUGCUCAUGUGCUAGCUAGCCCAGGUCUCUCUUCCUCUUCUUGUAAAGCUACCAGUUCCCCUACCAUAAUAACCCAUUAAUCUAUUAAUACAUGAAUGGGCUAACCCAUUCAUUAGGGCGGAACUCUCAUGAUCCAAUCACUUCUUAAAGGCCCCGCCUCUCAUACUGCCACACUGAGGACAAAGGGUCAACAUGAGUUUUGGAGUGUUUCAUGCGUGUCCGUGUGAAGAGACCACCAAACAGGAUUUGUGUGAGCAACAUGGCUGUUUAUUUCACCUGGGCGCAGGCGGGCUGAGUCCAAAAGGAGAGUCAGUGAAGGGAGAUAGGAGUGGGGCCGUUUUAUAGGAUUUGGGAAGGUAAUGGAAAAUUACAGUCAAAGGGGGUUGUUCUCUGGUGGGCAGGGGUGGGGGUCACAAUGUGCUCAGUGGGGGAGCUUCUGAGCCAGGAGAAGAAAAUUCACAAUGGUGGAAUGUCAUCAGUUAAGGUGGGGCAGGGCCUUUUCACUUCUUUUAUGAUUCUUCAGUUCAGGCCAUCUGGGCAUAUACGUGCAAGUCACAGGGGAUGCGAUGGCUUGGCUUGGGCUCAGAGGCCUGACAUUCCUGCCUUCUUAUAUUAAUAAGAAAAAUAAAACAAAAUAGUGUUGAAGUGUUGGGGUGGCAAAAAUUUUUGGGGGGUGGUAUGGAGAGAGAAUGGGCGAUGUUUCUCAGGGCUGCUUCAAGUGGGAUUAGGGGCGGCGUGGGAACUUAGAGUGGGAGAGAUUAAGCUGAAGGGAGGUCUUGUGGUAAGGGGUGAUAUUGUGGGUUGUUAGAAGAAACAUUUGUCGUAUAGAAUGAUUGGUGAUGGCCUGGAUACGGUUUUGUAUGAAUUGAAAAACUAAAUGGAAUAAGAGAAGGAGAAAAGCAGGUAUAAAAGGACUAAGAAUUGGGAGGACCUAGGACAUCUAAUUAGAGAGUGCCUAAGGAGGUUCAGCAUAGUCCUGCCAGCAAAGAUUAUUUAUUUACUUCAAGAGUUAAGAGUGGCAGUUUGGGGAUAGCACGGGGAGAUAUCAUCUGUGAUGGCUUGGAGAAACAGUGUAAACCGGCAGUGUAAACAAGAGCAGGGCAUGUAUGAGUAGUUGAGAAUGGUGAAUAGGAGUAUGACUAGACAGAAGAUAGUAGGGAUGACAAGUUAUUUGGGGGCACAGUCUAAGUUGGUCUGGUGUCUGGAAUGAGAUUGGGGCCUAAUAAAAAGGAGCGUCUAUACAGGAGUUUAAAUGGGCUGUACCUUGUAGCAUUUUGAGGACAGGUCUGACUUCUGAGAAGGGAAAGUGAUAAAAGUAUUGUCCAGUCCUUUUUAAGUUGGUGGCUGAGUUUGGUGAGGUGUGUUUUUAAUAGACCAUUAGUCUGUCACUGAAUACUAAGAGCCUGAAAAAAUGCUUGGCUGAUUUGACUAAUAAAGGCUGGUCUGUUAUCAGACUACAUAGAGGUGGGAAGGCUAAACUAAGGAAUUGUGUCUGACAGAAGGGAAGAAAUGACUGCGGUGGCCUUCUCAGACCCUGUAGGAAACGCCUCUACCUAUCUAGUGAAGGUGUCUACUUAGACUAAGAGGUAUUUUAGUUUUUGUGACUCAGGGCAUGUUGAGUAAAGCUAAUUUGCCAGUCCUGGGCGGGGGCAAAUCCUUGAGCUUGAUGUGUAGGGAAGGGAGGGGGCCUGAAUAAUCCUUGAGGAGUAGUAGAAUAGCAGAUAGAAUAGCAGAUGGAACACUGAGAAGUUAUUUCCUUGAGGAUAGAUUUCUACGAUGGAAAGGAAAUGAAAGGUUCUAAGAGGCAGGCUAGUGGCUUGUACUAUAGCAUAGCCUGCCUUUGCUGGUGUGUGGUGAUCAGGCCUGGUGGAACUGGCAUCAAUAAAUCAAGCGUGAUCAGGGUGAGAAACAGGGAAGAAGGAAAUGUAGGGAAAUAGGAUGAACAUCAGGUGGAUCAGAGAGAUGCAGUCAUGAGGGUCAGGUGUGGUAUCUGGAAUAAUGUGGGAGGCCGGAUUGAAGUCUGGGGCAGGAACAGUGGUAACUGUGGGACUUAACAAAGAGUGAGUACAGCUGAAGGAGCUGGGGAGCAGAAAUUAUAUGCGUCAGGUAUGAGGAAGAAAAUAGACUUUGGAAGUUAUGAGAACUGUAGAGAGUGAGUUGAGCAUAGUUUGUGAUUUUGAGGGCCUCUAAAAGUAUUAAAGCAGCGGCAGCCACUGCACGCAGACAUGAGGGCGAGGCUAAAACAGUAAGGUCAAGUUGUUUCGACAGAAAGCCUACAGGGUGCGGUCCUGGCUCUUGUGUAAGAAUUCUGACUGCACUAACCAUGCCUAGGAAGGAAAGGAGUUGUUGUUUUGUAAAGGAUUGAGGUUUGGAAGAUUAAUCGGACACGGUCAGCAGGGAGAGCACUUGUGUUUUUAUGAGAAUUAUGCCGAGAUAGGUAACAGAUGAGGAUGAAAUUUGGGCUUGACUGAAGUAAUGGGGGCUGUCUGUGAAGCCCUGUGGCAGUACAGCCCAGGUAAUUUGCUGAGCCUAAUGGGUGUCAGGGUCAGUCUAAGUGAAAGCAAAGAGAGGCUUGGAUGAAGGGUGCAAAGGAAUAGUAAAGAAAGCAUGUGUGAGACCCAGAACAAAAUAAUGGGUAGUAGAGUGAGGUAUUGAGGAUAGGAGAGUAUAUGGGUUUGGCACCACGGGGUGGAUAGGCAAAACAAUUUGGUUGAUAAGGCUAAGAUUCUGAACUAACUCGUAAGCCUUGUCCAGUUUUAGGACAGGUAAAAUAGGGGAAUGGUAAGGAGAGUUCAUAGGCUUUAAAAGGCCAUGCUGUAGCAGGCGAGUGAUAACAGGCUUUAAUCAUUUUAAAGAGUGCUGUGGGAUGGGAUCUUGGCAUUGAGCGGGGUAAGGGGGAUUAGGUUUUAAUGAGAUAGUAAGGGGUGCAUGAUCGGUCGCCAAGGAGGGAGGAGAGGUAUCUUAUACUUGUGGGUUAAGGUGGGGGGAUUCAAGAGGAGAAUACAAAGGAGGCUUUGGAUUGGGAAAAAGGGUGGCAAUGAGAUGCAGCUGUAGUCCAGGAAUAGUCAGGGAAGCAGAUACUUUAGUUAAAGUGUCUCAUCCUAAUAAGGGAACUGGGCAGGUGGGGAUAACUAAAAAGGAGUGCUUAAAAGAGUAUUGUCUAAGUUGGCACCAGAGUUGGGGAGUUUUAAGAGGUUUAGAAGCCUGGCCGUCAAUACCCACAACAGUUAUGGAGGCAAGGGAAACAGGCCCUUGAAAAGAAGGUAAUGUGGAGUGGGUAGCCUCCGUAUUGAUUAAGAAGGGGACGGACUUACCCUCCACUCUGAGAGUUACCCGAAGCUCGGCAUCUGUAAUUGUCUACAGGGCUUCCAAGGCGAUCGGGCAGCGUCAGUCUUCAGCCGCUAAGCUGAGAAGAUCUGGGAAGGAGUCAGAGAGCCUUGGGCCAGAGUUCCAGGGGCUUUGGAAGUGGCUACCAGAGAAGGAGCCAUGAUGAAAGAUGGCUUUGACCCAUUUGAAGACUUUCAGCCAGAAAAUGUGCUUUGUACUAGGAGCUGGAGGAACGGCAUUGCCACCACACCAUACCCCUUCUUGAUGGAAUAGCCACAGCCAGAAACCUCCCUCUGUCCCUUCCCACAUGCCUUGAAGGCCGUGUGUUGGGACUGGUGGUUCCCCAAGAUGGAAGGAGCCAGAUCUUUGAACAACUGUGUAUAGCAGAGCCUGCCCCAAUCUCCAACCACAUAAGUAUGUGACAUAAGUGAGCAAUACACUUUUAUUGUGAUAAGCCACUGAGACUUCAGGAUUUCUUUAUAUUUGCAGCCUAGCCUUGCCUACCCAGAUAGAGGUGCCAGAUGGAUGACCUACAAGCCAGAUGUGUUUGGCUUUAAUGAUUAAAAAAUUGGAAUGUAAGUGCUCUACAGAGCAUGCUUGCUCCAGUUUGCCACAACCCUCACCACUCCUUAUUGAUUUUUACCCAGCCACUUCACACAUUUACCUGCCUAAGUCCGUGAAACAUUUGAGUUUGCAAGCCUGAAAAGCUCUGGAUCAAAAUCGCUUUUUGAUUAAUGCUUCGACUCUGUGUUGUCUCAUCCUGUGACAUGCUCAGGAAGAUAGCAGAAACUCAUGCAAGUAAAUUGAGUAGCAUUGUCUAUUGAGGUUGGGUGCAGAUAGCUUAGGUUUAAAACAUGCAUUGUGGGCUGGGCAUGGUGGCUUACGCCUGUAAUCCCAGCACUUUGGGAAGCCGAGGUGGACAGAUCACCUGAGGUCAGGAGUUCAAGACCAGCCUGACUAACAUGGUGAAACCCCGUCUUUACUAAAAAUACAAAAAUUUAGCCAGG